GCAAGUCGAGCGGAAACGAUGUAGAGCUUGCUCUUUAGGCGUCGCGCGCCGGACGGGUGAGUAAUGCUUGGGAAUCUGCCUUAUGGUGGGGUACAACAGUUGGAAACGACUGCUAAUACCGCAUAACGCCUACGGACCAAAGGUGGGGAUCUUCGGACCUCUCGCCAUUUGAUUAGCCCAAGUGAGAUUAGCUAGUAGGUGAGGUAAGAGCUCACCUAGGCGACGAUCUCUAGCUGGUUUGAGAGGAUGAUC
rnacentral:rRNA from 1 species